UUCUGACAGUGUAUCGUCAGAGUUAGCGGCAGACGGGUGAGUAAUACUUGGGCAAUCUGCCCUUGAGUGGGAAACAACCUGCCGAAAGGCGGGCUAAUGUCCCAUAAGACCACAGGGAUGCAUAUUCCAGGGGUCAAAGCUCCGCAAGGGGCGCUUGAGGAGGAGCCCGAGUCCUAUCAGCUAGUUGGUGAGGUAACGGCUCACCAAGGCUUUGACGGGUAGCCGGCCUGAAAGGGUGAUCGGCCACACUGGCACUGAGACACGGGCCAGACUCCUACGGGAGGCAGCAGUGGGGAAUUUUGGACAAUGGGGGCAACCCUGAUCCAGCGACGCCGCGUGGAGGACGAAGGUCUUCGGAUUGUAAACUCCUUUUAGGGGGGAUGAAUGGCCUGGUGAAUAGCCAGGUAUGACAGUACUCCCUGAAUAAGCCACGGCUAACUACGUGCCAGCAGCCGCGGUAAUACGUAGGUGGCAAGCGAUACUCGGAAUCACUAGGCGUAAAGCGCAGGUAGGCGGUUCGGUAAGUCUUUUGUGAAAGCUCCUGGCUUAACUGGGAGAGGUCAAAGGAAACUACCGGGCUAGAGUGUGGCAGAGGAAGCUGGAAUUCCCGGUGUAGCGGUGAAAUGCGUAGAUAUCGGGAGGAAUACCUAUGGCGAAAGCAGGCUUCUGGGCCAUCACUGACGCUGAUCUGCGAAAGCUAGGGGAGCAAACAGGAUUAGAUACCCUGGUAGUCCUAGCCCUAAACGAUGCUCAUUAGGUGUGGAAGGUAUCGA
rnacentral:rRNA from 1 species